rnacentral:lncRNA from 1 species
AGAAGAGAAUGGAUGAUGUGCCGACAGAGGGAGAGCACAAAAGACUUCCGGGUCUCAACACCCGCUGCUCUGCCAGAGGAGGAGGAGGUCAGGGGCUUACAAAGGGGCUACAGGGAAGGGGGCGCUGCCAGGGAGAAAUCGAGAGAGAGCUGCCGGUCUCCGGUGCCAGGUGCCACUGCUCGUCACCCACUCUGUGUCCUCCUGCUGGUCCUGGGGGCAGGGGGCGGGGCGGCCGUUGGACGCAGAGUCCAGGGCCCCGCCGGCCCAGCCCCUGCUCUCGGCCGGAAAGUGACCGCGCAGGGAUUGCCCAAGGUCAGGAGCGCUGAGGCCCGCGGGUCCAAGAAAAAGGUGGGCCCGACCGCUCCAGAGGGGACCCCGGGCUCCCAAACCAGCCCACGUCCGCCGUCAUUCUCUCGCGGCCCCGCCCACUUCCUAGCUGUCAGUCUGCAGGGCCCUGCCCACUUCCUUGUCAUUCAGCCUAGUCCCCGCCAUACUUCCCUGUCAGUCUCCCAAGCCUCCCCCCGCAACUGAGAUUCAAUCUAACUGCUCCUGUUCACUCUUCAGUCCCUCCCACUCUCCCUGUCAUUCAGCCUAGUCCCCGCCCACUUCCGAGCCAUCUGCCUCCCAGGUCCUGCCCACUUCCCUGUCAUUCUCCACAGGCUCCGCCCAUUCCCAGCCAUCUCCCUCCCGGGCCCCGCCCAAUCCCACUUCCCUUGCUAGUGUCUCGAAGCAACGCCCACCAGGAAGAGGGGGCUGCGGGUGCUUCGGCCGCUUCUCCCAGGCGUGGCCCCAUCCAGGUGGACACCCCCGCCCACGUGGCCAUGGCCCUGCCCCAGCACAGGCCACCAAAACGCUGGUGACUCUGGACGUGUUCUGUCUGAUGCAGGCUGAGCCCCUUCCCCACCAGCCCCCAGCCCCAGGGCCUGUGUGCGCUUACCCAGUGGGGGGGUGCCCCAGGGCUCGCAUGCCCGCCGUGCGAGUGCACACCCCCCACACACACCCAGUGCUGGUGUCUGUGGGCAGGUUCUGUCUUUGGGUUGUGUGUCUGGGUCUCUCUGAGUGUCCCGUUGCAUGUCCCCGUGUACGGCUGGCUGCACGUGUUGUAUGUGUGUGCAGCUGGGUCUGUGUUGCACUUACAUGCAUGUCCCUCCCUAGCUGCCAGGUCCCCACCCGCACAUGCAGAUUGAAAACAUUGUUUUGAAAAAGAUUCACUUAGGCCGGCGCUGCGGCUCACUAGGCUAAUCCUCUGCCUUGCGGCGCCGGCACACCGGGUUCUAGUCCCAGUCGGGGCACCAGAUUCUGUCCCGGUUGCCCCUCUUCCAGGCCAGCUCUCUGCUGUGGCCAGGGAGUGCAGUGGAGGAUGGCCCAGGUGCUUGGGCCCUGCACCCCAUGGGAGACCAGGAGAAGCACCUGGCUCCUGGCUUCGGAUCAGCGCGGUGCACCGGCCACAGUGCGCCGGCUGUGGCAGCCAUUGGAUGGUGAACCAACGGCAAAGGAAGACCGUUCUCUCUGUCUCUCUCUCCCACUGUCC